AUUAAAAUUAUAAUUAUAUAGCAGAUUUAAGUUCUGUGUAUGAGGUAACUCUUUUAAUA
rnacentral:tRNA from 1 species